AAGACGUGAAUCAUGUAGCUAGUUACAAUAGCUAUUUAAUAUUAUAUCAAUUCAAGUUUGUAUUCCAGCAAGAGCGAAAAUGAGACACAAGAAUUCCGGCAGAUACAAACAGAAGUGAUGGAUUUAUUGAGGAUCACAUCAAAUAAUCCAGGAGCUGUGAAUCAGUAAACAAAAAUGGAUAAAGUCGAAACCAAAGAAGAAGAUUCUGAAAUAAUCUCGAAACAUGUACGCGUUUUCUGAAAGAAAUUAAUAAAGAGUAUUGAUUAAAUGUC
rnacentral:lncRNA from 1 species